GUCAUGUCUCCUUACACAGUCACAAUAGAGAUCAGAGUUUCAACACGUGGAUUUGGGGGGAACAUGCCCCAGCCCUGGCACGGGUGUUCCUGAACUCACAUGUGGACACAGCACAACCACAGGUGACACACAGAUGACAUCCCUCCCUGGGUGUGCGCCCCUGCAGGCCACAGCAGGCCAGGACAGAGCCACACGGGCCCAGGGACAUGGCCCACAGUGACACAAGCUAAGCUGGCCAGUGGGGACACAUGUGAAUGUCAGCUCUGUGGGAGUUUCAGAAACUGAAGGAUUGGAGUGUUUUUUUACCCUCCUCACAAGCUCACUGGCUCACCUGUCGCAACUGUAUGGAUGCUGGCAGAAGACAUGAGACUCCUGGGUCAGAAACACGCGAUGAAGCAGCUCAGGGGGCAGUGUGAGCUUCAGGCUCCUCCAUCAGCUCCCCUCGUCUGUCAAGUUCAGGUUGAUGCUGCACACACAGGGCUGGCAUCACAGCUCAGGAAUUCUGUGCUUAAGGAACCCCAAUCAUUUAUCAUGGGCUGCCAGCAAACCUGGCCUUGGCCUUGGAGGGAGUCAUCUUCAUUACAUGACAUAGUACAAACUUCCUUUUUCUCAAAAGGGAGAUCCUAUCUCUUUUUUCCCAAGCUAUUUGCCAUACAAACAUCCUUGAAAAGAAUAGUGCCUCUGCUGGCAAGAGGUACAGAGAUGUGAGGGACCACGGAGAACCGUCUCCCUGCAGAGGGCAGAGUUCAUGAAUGUGUUCAUCGCUGUCCCAGCCCAUCACACCAACCACCAUGCUCUAAGCCACAGAACGGAAGCCAUGGGGCUGCAUCAGCCAAGCAGAGUUGGUGCCAUUUUCAGAAACACCGAACAGGCAUACAGACCAGCAGUGGUUCUAUGGAAAAAGCACCUUCUUUAUUGCUUUCUGUAUCCUGGAUUUUCAUUCUGAAAUUUCUCUUGGCUUGCUCCUGUCUGGAAAAUGAGAUAAAAGCACCAUUUGAACCUGACAUAGCGAUGAUGGAACAGAGUUGUUUCUGGGAGAUGCUUAAGGAUUGUGGUGGAAAAUAAUAAUUUUAAAGAUGACUUUUGUUUAGGAAACUCCAAGGUUAAGACAGACACUGUGUAAGGCGAGAGGGUGAGCCUCAACAAAAGGAAAUAACUGGGGGAGGUGUUUGGCGGGCUAUAAGAAGAAACUGUUUAUCUCUGCUGUCCAUAUACAUUCAGAGUCUGGGGUAUCUUCCUGGACAGAUCAUCAGGCAUGAGACCAGAGGCUGACUGCAAACUUUAUCUGACCCCUACGUCCCACAUCCAGUCAAUCAUGAAGACUGGCCUUUCCAGAUUCCUGGUUCCUUCCUGUCCCAUCCCCGUGACCCCUACCAAGUUUACAACAUUCUUGUCAACCUCUGGCACCAUUUCUUCGGCUUUCUAGUAGAUUUCCCUGCCUCCAGUCCGUUGUCCACACCUCUGCCUUGGAGAUCUUUCCAAAAUGAAAUUCUGAUUGUGUCAUUCCCCUUCUUCAGACUUUUCAGUGAUUUCCUAUUUCCUUUAGGAUAAAGAUCUAAUUCAGAAGGGCUCAUGAGAUGAGACCCUGCUUGCACAACUUCUCCCUUUCUGCUUCACUCUGACUGCCUCUCCCCUUCAUCCUCUUUGUUUCAGCCACAAUUCAAGUGUUCCCCUGGGCAAGAAUGCCUUCUCCACCAUUCUUGGGAAAAUGUUCAGAGUUCCAAGAAAAAGCAGCCGAGGAAUCAGGAAAUAAUAAUCUUAAAAGAAUUAAGGCUUAACAAUCAACAUAGGAACAUUUCUGCUCCGGAGGCAUCCAAUGCUACCGAGUGGAAAGUGAGAGCAGGAAACGCUGACAUUGGGUAAAAAGCUCAUUUGGGUUUUUCUGUGAGAGCUUGCUUCUGAGAGAUUCUUACAAUAGAAUCCAAAGACAGGGUCAAAUCGCUGGGAAAUGGGCCCAGAGUGAAUAGGAGACACGUGAUGGAAAUUGAGUUGGUCUUGCUGGCAGCUGUGGCCCUGUGAAAAGUGUGCUCUGUCUAUGUCUCCUGACAGUUGAUUAAUUCUUGCAAAAUAAAAACAAAUAACUAUAUGCAUAGUAUACUUAACACAAA